UGCCUGCAGCACAACCUGCUCUGCACGGAAAGAAAGAGUGCAGACAGCUCAGGCCAGGAUAAACACACGACCAGUACUACAUACACAACCACCACCGUCUGGAACACUCGUACACAGCCACAACAGAGGCCCACUCUCACAGAACAAAAUUUCCUAAAUCUAUCAACUCCAAAUCAGAAAAUACACAAAAGUGCCGCAGAAAUACAGCAAAUGCAAAAGAGCAAAAAGCAAUUACUUUCGGGAUCAACACAACAAAUAGACAGUUUUACCGAGGUCCAGCUGAAAAACAUCGUGAAGAUCAUGGCAGAGACCAUUAUCAAUUGUCUACAGAUGAUGCAGAAUGCCUCACAACAGACUCAAGAAAUUACUUGUGUAAUAAUGGACAAGAUCGUGCAGCAGACCACAGUUACAUAAGAAAUAGACAGUCCGAGACAAGAUGGAACACAAGAGGACAAACAACGCAGCAUGGACAUACAGACUACCAAUAACAGUCGGAUAGUCAAGACACCAGAACAUCAACAUUCACAAAAGCAACUGCAAGAAGCAGUGACCACCCAAGAUCAACAGAAUCUUACAACACAAGAGACAGACAACAACAGCCAAUGCAGUCUGAUAUGCAACAACACCAACAAAGACGUAUUGAACAGCAGAGAUGCACAGGUUCCAACAACACUAGAGGCAGGCAUGAACAAUCAAUUCAGCCCAAUAUGCAGCAACAUCAACAAUGAAAUACUGGAUGGGAGAGAUGCACAGAUUCUUACAAAAGAAACGGCCACGAGCAAUCAAUACAAUCCAAUGUGCAGCAAUACCAACAGCAAAGUGACGGACCACAGUUAUGCACAGAUUCCAACAAUGUAGGGGAUGACCACGAGCAAUCGGUGCAGUCCGAAUUGCAGGGACACGACUUGCGUGGUGGAGAAUUUAGAGGUCGAUUCCGAAAAGGAGUUCUAGAAGAACAGGCAAACACAAACCGAAACCGUCGUGUGGCCAUUACGAAUACUGCAGUGGAACAUACAAGGUCUUGGAAAUAAAAACCACACUCUUCAGGAGGCUGCAAUCAGCAUGAAAGCAGAUAUAAUCGUUUUGGAAGAAACACUUUUUUCCCAACCACGAAAUCCUUCAGAUUAGCUGGAUAUCAGCACUACAUUAUACUGUAUGAGCAGGGAAGACAAAGAGGGUUAAUGACUCUAGUCAGAAACAUCAUACCCAGCAAGAAAAUAGACCCAGUUUCAUGUGGGGAUGGAGUAGAAGUAUUAGCAGUACCAGUGAGUAUGGCUAAUAUUGAGCUCCUCAUAUACAACGUUUAAAAGCCCCCUAGACGUAAACUAGAAGCAAAGGCAGUUCUUGCCUUGGCCAUGCAGUAAAAUGCUAUUAUUGCUGGGGAUUUUAAUGCUCAUCAUAAAGUUAGGUGUUGAUUUCACCUGUGUACACACAGCAUUUGCCUUAAAUUGAAUUAUUUUCAUUAUAAAAUAAAGUUGCUUUAAAUACAAUACAGUGUAUAAUAUACCUUACAUGUAAGGGAAAAAUUAAAUAUAAUUUUGUUUUUAAAUGCUAUACACAAAACAAUGAUAUGGGCCAUCAAUAUGUAGCCCUUAGACCAAGUUUGAAACAGCUUCAAUAUUUUGAAUCAAUAAAUGUGUAUUUUAUUUAAUAAAUGACAUGACUUUAUUUGUGGCUUAUAGUACUUGAUCAACAAAAUAUAUCUGUUCUAAUAAUGGGUGCACAGGCUGACCAAUUGCUUAUUUAGGUGAACAAAACAAUGAAAGAUGAAAAGCACUGAGGUGAAACAUAUAUUAGGGAUGUGAUACAAUAAUUAUAUCUUUGCCAUUAAUCUGUUUGCCAAUAAAAAAAGCUUCUUAUUUUUUUGUUUUUAUAUUGUCACUACUUUGUCACUAGUCACUACUACUAAACAAUUAAACUUAGCAAAUGAUAAACAUUCUUUAAUACAAAAAAACAGGUAAAUAUUUUCACCAAACAUCAGUCAACUAUAUGACGUACUUUUGUUAUUAAAUUGUGCUAUAUAAUAUGCAAGUCACAGCCAAAUUAAUUGUAUGAAUAAGUGUUACAUUUUAAUGUUUCCAUAAUGUUCUUAAUUACAAUUGCUAUUACAAAAUAUUAUAAUUUCUUAUCCCAUUUUUACGGAUUCUAAUUAAUAGUUUUAAAUGAUUUUCAUAAUGGCUGAUUAUUUCCCAUAAAUUCUACCACUUUCCAUAUACCUUUGGAUAUCUCCUUGAGGGAUUUGUUCAAGUACUGUACUGUCUUUCUUUAGCAACCUCCCUUAAGGUUCCUGGCACUUUAUGUACAGCAUCUAUUAGAUUUUCAUGCAGAAUUAACACUUGUUGUGUUGUAUUGUGUUCUGCAGUAUUUUUUUUUUUUACCUGUAUGUGUACUACAGACUGAGCCUUUGGAGUAGUCAUGGCCUAGAGACGAUGGAUGAAAUUGAUCACCAAUUGGUGAGGCAGAAGGCUCGCCUGAUUCCUGUACAUUUAGCACUCGAGAAUCAUCAGUGUCCAUGACCACUUCCUCUGUUACACAGUUUGGUUCUGUAAAAAAAAAAAAACAAAAAAAAAAAAACAAAAAAUAUAUAUAUAAAUGAAUUUGUGUGAAUACAUUCAGUGGAUUUUGAUAAAUUUGGCUAAUUUGGGGACCCCAAUAGAAGCCUUAUGUGUAUGAAUACACUCUGGCUUCCUGUUCCCAAACACAAUGAAUUAUUAUAACUUAUUAUCUCGAGGUCCACCCCUAAGGAUUAAUUACUGACCCUGUCCAGGAUGCAACCCCACAACAAGCUGUAACUCUUGAGUACCUACAUAUUGCUAGGUGAAUAGGGCCAUAAGCUGAUUGGAAAUGUCAUGCCCGAGUUUUGAACCCCAAAUUCCAUAUUGCGAGUCUACAAUGAACCUGACUCUACGAUACAUAAAAACAACAAAUAAAAUUUACUUUUUAACAGAUACAGGUAAUUUCACAUAUGAAUGAACAAAUCUUGUCAUCUGUAAAAAUAUUUAUGGACUUAUUUAAUAAAAACUUUCAUAAAACAAAUAUUUCUAUAUGUUUUUCCUGCCUUUGGUAUAUCCAUUUAAGUGUAAUAUAACCAUUCUGGCUUUUCUGCAUUUUCACCUGAUAGUUACCUUACGAUUAAAGUUAUACUGUAGUUCUCGGUUCAGGCGAAGGUAAUGCAAAGAAUUUGGAUUUUUUUUUUUUUAAAUAUCAAUCACAAAUUAAGAUAUACCUGUACUGCACAAUUUAAUGAGUGAAAAAAAAUAUGACUAACAGUGCACAUUACAUACCAAUAUCGAAUCUUGAUGAUCCAUUGUUAAUAUUUAUGAGCUUUAGAUAUGUUUAGCAAUAAUGUUACCCUGUGUGGGACUUGCCCAUCUAAUUUGUGAUGUCCUCUUAACAACUACUAAAGUAAUGUUGCUUACUAGGGUUGAAAAUGAGUUUAUAUAAUCAAGAUCCUGUUAAUAAUAUUUAUAUUUUGUAAUUACUUUACCUAAUGGUUAUAUAACUGUUUGCCAAGAUAAUUUAACUAAGUGGCGUAAGUAGUGAAAAGUAUCACUUCUACAAAAUGCUUAAUUUGUUUAAUUUACAAAUCUUUGAUCUAUAAAUAUAUAUUUUUUUUUUUUGAUGAACAAACAAAUUUCAAUUUGUACCAUUCAAUUUUACUGGGUCAUUAAUUUUUAUAUACCAAUUGAACCUAAACAAAUUUCACUUGGUCCUCGACACAAAAUCUUUAGACAUAAAAAAAAGAGUAAUACCUUCUAGGGUAUAAUCCUGUCCUGCAUCACGGAUGCCAGCAUUUCCGUGGCGUUUUCUGUUAAUUUUUUCUUGACUAAAGAUUUAAGAUCAUGAAAUUUCUUGUGGAAAUCUACUUGUCUUGAGCAGAGACCAACACCACUUACAGCAAGAGCUAUUUGGCUCCAGGCACAGCGUUUGUCUUGGGUAGUUACUUAUCUUGAUAACUUCCCAAAAAUUAUGCUCUCUCUCUUCUUAACCUCAUCAACGAGAACUGUCAUCUCCUUUUCACCGAAGUUUGCUUUCCUCUUUAUCCCAGACAUUUUCUUCUUGAUGGUAGGUGCAGUUUGUGUGAAGUGUCUAUCCUCUUGAUUACUGCACGACUACAAAUGUUGGGAGAGGCGUUACUGUUGAGAAUGACAAGGUUUCAAAAGUGUUUGAUGUCUUGUACUGUAGAUAAAGGAGCGGGGACUAAACAGAGGCUUGCUUUGAGAUUAGAGGGAGACUUGCCGCACUGUAGGCCGGGGUGUUGUGUUGUGCUGGCGUCAGCUGAUCCUUGGUGCUGCAGCCAGACAGUUGUUUUCUGUGUUUGGCUGUUGGUGGCGCCAAGUAUGAAUGUGGCACAGGUCAAAUAUGGCCCAAUUUGUUGGUCGACUGGAGAUAUUUAGCCAGUGCUUUGAUUAUUGGAUAUUUUUCAUGUAAAAAAGUCACCUCCUCCUAAUAAACAACGAUAAAGGUUAUUUAAAGUACGCUAAAUCUUGUUUGAAAUUUACUCUGGCACUACGAUGUCAAAAACGGUGAAGGAGAUGAUGUUCGAUUGUUUCCGGCACAUGACUGGAUGCACAGAUGAUUUUUCUGACAUCAAUACCACGAGGAACCGGAAUGUUUACACAACACAGCCGAUAUUGCAUUAGCGUGAUUGGUCAGGUUAGAAAUGUAACAUUUGCUCUGAUUGGCCAAACACUACACAGUAGUGACCUCUGUCGACAUGCAGGUGAACCAGACCCAAAACCCAAAUAUCUUCGUAAGAACACCUACAGUAUCUGAAUUGCACAACCAAAUUGUGUAACAGAGGAAGUGGUCAUGGACACUGAUGAUUGUCGAGUGCUAAAUGUACAGAAAUCAGGCGAGCCUUCUGCCUCACCAAUUGGUGAUCAAUUUCAUCCAUCGUCUCUAGGCCAUGACUACUCCAAAGUCUCUGUCUGUAGUACACAUACAGGUAAAAAAAAAUACUGCAGGACAUAAUACAACACAAGUGUUAAUUCUGCAUGAAAAUCUUAGACGCUGUACAUAAAGUGUCAACAGCCUUAAAGGAGGUUGCUAAAGAAGCACAGGACUUAAACAAAUCCCUCAAGGAGAUAUCCAAAGGUAUAUGGAGAGUGGUAGAAUGUCUGGGAAAUAAUCAGUCAUUAUGAAAAUCAUUUAAUGCUAUCUAAUUAGAAUCCCUAAAAAUAGGAUGAGAAAUUAUAAUAUUUUGUAAUAGCAAUUGUAAUUAAGAAAAAUUUGGAAAUAUUAAAAUGUAACAAUUAUUCAUAUCAUUAAUUUGGCUGUAACUUGCAUAUUAUAUAGCACAAUUUUAUAACAAAUAUACCUCAUAUAGUCGACUGAUGUUUGGUGAAAAUAUUUACAUGUUUUUUGUAUUAAAGAAUGUUUAUCAUUUGCUAAGUUUAAUUGUUGAGAGUACAAAAUAGUGACAAUAUGAAAAAACACCCAAAUAAGAAGCUUUUUUAUUGGCAAAAAGAUUAAUGGCAAAGAUAUAAUUAUUGUAUCACAUCCCUAAUAUAUGUUUCACCUCAGUGCUUUUCAUCUUUCAUUGUUUUGUUCACCUAAAUAAUCAAUUUGUCAGCCUGUGCACCCAUUAUUAGAACAGAUAUAUUUGUUGAUCAAGUUCUAUAAGCCACAAAUAGUCAUGUCAUAUUAAAUAAAACACAUUUAUUGAUUCAAUUUAUUGAAGCUGUUUGAAACUUGGUCUCAGGGCUACAUAUUGAUGGCCUAUAUUAUUGUUUUGUGUAUAGCAUUUAAAAAACAAUUUAUAUUUAAUUUUUCCCUUGCAUGCAAGGUAUAUUAUACACUGUACUGUAUUGAAAGCAACUUUAUUUUAUAAUUAAAAUCAUUCAAGGCAAAGGCUGUGUGUACACAGGUGAAACCAACACUAGUAUAGAUAUUUUACAAAACCAAAUUAUGUACAACAUUUAUUUGUGUGUAUGAAUAAAUAUUAUUUAAUAUAUUUUUCACACAAAUUUUUUGUAUUUUGUCAGAUGUAUAUAUUUCUCCUCAGGUAUCUGACUUUCCAUAUAAAAUACUGUAUAGCAGCAUAAAUAAUAUUUCCAAAUCAGCAAGUACAUGUUUGUAACAAUUUCUUUGUAUAUUCCUGUUUCACUUACAUGUACAGUAUGUGCUAUAGAAUUUAAUAGGUAAAAAUGGCUAGGAUAACUUACAAAUAAUUCUAUGAAUCAAAUACA
rnacentral:lncRNA from 1 species